rnacentral:rRNA from 2 species
UUCGGUGGCCAUGGCGGAGGGGAAACACCCGUUCCCAUUCCGAACACGGCAGUUAAGCCUUCCUGCGCCGAUGGUACUGCCGCGGUAACGCGGUGGGAGAGUAGGUCGUCGCCGAGC